GAUGAACGCUGGCGGCGUGCAUAACACAUUCAAGUCGAACGGUGACGAGGACUUCGGUCCUCUGAUCAGUGGCGGACGGGUGAGUAACGCGUGAGCAACCUGCCCUAUAUUGCGGGAUAACAACCGGAAACAGUUGCUAAUACCGCAUGACGUAUUCGGAUCGCAUGUUCUGAAUACCAAAGAAUUUUGAUAUAGGAUGGGCUCGCGUCCGAUUAGGCAGUUGGUGGGGUAACGGCCCACCAAACCGACGAUCGGUAGCCGAACUGAGAGGUUGAACGGCCACAUUGGAACUGAGAUACGGUCCAGACUCCUACGGGAGGCAGCAGUGGGGAAUAUUGGGCGAUGGGCGAAAGCCUGACCCAGCGACGCCGCGUGAGGGAAGAAGGUCUUCGGAUUGUAAACCUCUUUCAGCAGGGAAGAAGCAAGUGACGGUACCUGCAGAAGAAGUCACGGCUAACUACGUGCCAGCCGCCGCAGUAAUAC
rnacentral:rRNA from 1 species